rnacentral:lncRNA from 10 species
GUGCAGGAAACCACCAUGGCAUGUUUAUACCUAUGUAACGAACCUGCACGUUCUGCACAUGUAUCCCAGAACUUAAACUAUAAUAAAUUUUAAAAAAGCAUAAUACCCGAUACGUAGCUUUUCAUUCCUCAAUUGGAAUGUUUUUAAUGUUUGAACCAAACAUGCAUGCCAAAACUGCACCUAAUAAAAUUAUAAUUAUAUUCUUAAUAUCAUUAAAUACCCAAUCCGUGUUUAAAUUACCCCAAUUGUCUUGACAGAUUUUUCGUGUUAGUUUGGAUUAAGAGUCAAACAGAUGUGGUUGUUAUAACGUUUACUUUGUUAUGUAACCAUUCUUUGUGUGAGAGCCUGUGUGUGUGUUUGUUUGUGUGUGUGUGUGUGUGAGUGAGUGUGUGUGUGCACACACGUUAGGUAUUUUUUGCAGAGGAAAAUAAUAAUAAUGCAGCACCCUUUGUAUUUGGCUUAGUGCUUCAUUUUGUGUCAUUUUAUUUAUUUCUGUACCAAUUCUUUUAAACUAAUGUUGAGAUCAAGGAUAUUUAUUAGCUUAGGUUCAUUCUUUUAGUUUCUCUUAAUAAAGCAAAAAUUCUUUAAAAAUCCUAUAAUUGUCAGAAAAUAAAAUUAAAAGUUUGGAGUGAUUAUAGUGACAAAGAUGUAUAACAUAUUAAUUUUCAGGAUCUUAUAAAAAAACAAAAAAAUUAUAGGUAAGAAACAACUCCAAAUGCUACUUUCAAAAUUGCUUCCAGCUGUGUGAAGAGAAUUCACUGGCCAUUAUCAGAAACAUUACAGAUUAUUUCUGUCUUUCCUCAAACCUAAGUUAUUAAAGUUUAAAAUCUAUUUGGGAACUUUAUGAAGGGUCAGUAUGAAUUAGCCCUCCUCUCUGUUCCGUCUCCAUGGUUCUUCUAGACAAGGAAACAAUAGCAUUUGAAACACACAAACCAAGAAUGUGCCUGGGGAUAGAGCAGCAAGGCUGUUUCAGAGUCUGGCCAACCCACACAGAGCCUUCACUGUCAGUGACAUUCCAGCCCCUCCAUACCCUGACUGACAGGUCUUCUUUCAGAUCAUUAAGGUGUAUAUGGUUUUGGAGAACAGAAUCGAAGGUGAAAAAAGGACAGAAGCAAAGGCUACACAAAACAAAGCCAGACCUGGAGAUCAUUUUCAAACUCUUCCCUCCUCACAUAAUAGAGCAUGGCAAAUUGGAGUCUUCAAUUAAGCACACGGAAUACAUGUGCUGAAUUGCUUUCUUUGCAAGGUUCAGAGUCAGAAUUCCUGCCCUGGGUUCUGAGUUGCUGAGUGGAGACGAUGAUGGAGAGCAGUGGAGACACGUGAUUUUCAGGGUGCUCUUUGCAUGCAUGAAAUGGAGCAAGACUUAUGAAGGGAAAAUGAAAGAGGAGGAUAGGAAGAUACGUCACCUCCUGGGUUUCCUCCAAUCAUCCAGUCCUCAUCUCUCUAUAUGUCUUUGAACACUCUGAGCGCCAUCAUGCCAAUUCCAUGGAUGAAACAAAUACCCAUGACUCAGCAUUUUUCUAAUGAAAACACGUGCGGUCUGACCCGAAGGAGAAACCACAAACAGAAUUGAGAAAAGCAGGCAGGCAAAUUUUGCUUUUCUUUUUCGUUAACCAACAGAAAAUGUAAGGACUGUUUCAUUAGGGAAUAAAAAAAAAAUGACUUACAGAAUUAACCAGAAGCAGCUCAUGAUAAAAUACAGUAUCACGCUAGAAAUACAUGUUUUACUUUUCAUGAAAGCUAACCACAUUGCCAUGAUGGGAACUCUCACACAUUGCUGGUGGGUAUGCAAAAUGAGACAGCCAGUCUGGAAAACAGUCUGCCAGUUUCCCGUGAUGUUACACUUACCACACACCCUAAUAAUCCCAAGUCUAGGUAUUUACCCUAGAGAAAUGAGGACUUAAUGUUCAACCCAAAAUCUGCACGUGAAAAUUUGUAGCGGCUUUAUUCCUUGUCACUAAAAACUGAGAACAACCAGAUGUCCUGCAAGUGACUGAAUAAACAAAGUAUAGUAAUUCAUAUACUACAAAGUAUAAUUCAUGGAGUACUAUGAAGCAAAAGCAGGAAUGACUAGAGUUAAUAACAAAGUAUUGUAUUGUUGAAAAUUGCUGAGCGAGUAGAUUUUAAAUGUUCUCACCACAAAGAACUGAAAAGUAUGUGAGGUAAUGAAUAUGUUAAGUAGCUUGAUUUAGCCAUUCCACAAUGUACAUAUAUCAAAACAUCGUGGUGUAUACCAUAAAUAUAUACAAAUGUUAUUUGUCUAUUAAAGAAGUUAAUUAAAGAAAAGGAUGGACUAUUGAUACACACAACCACUUGGAUACAUUGCAAAGGUACCAUGCUGAAUGAAAGAAAUUAGUUUCAAAAGCUAUGAUUUCAUUUAGAUGACAUCCUCAAGAAGACAAAACUGUAGUGACAAGGACAGAUUAGUGACUAGGAGAGACUGAGACAGGGCUGGGGUGUGUAAGUAACUACAAAAGGAGAACAUGGGAAAUUUUCGAGGCAAAAGGGUUGUCUUGGGUUCCUGCAGUUGUGACAGUUCCAGAAACCUGUAUUUGUGUUAAAAUCUACAGAACUGUACACAGUGAAGCCAAUUUUACUGUAUGUUAACUUUAAAAAUAUAAUACCACAAUAAAAUUAAACAUCACGCUGAAUGCUAAGAAUAGGAUAGACUUGCUUCAAUGGAUGGGGGAAAGACUUGCUUAACGGUAGGAGCCAUUUCAGGCAGAGACACUGAGGCUACUCUGUAACAAGGGAGAAAGGCAGCCUGAAAACUUGGUAAAUCUGUUUCCAAAAUAUUUGUCAUGUCCUUAAAAAUAAAAGCACACUGGAAAACACAAAAACGGAAUCAACCUCUCAGUAAAAGUCCUAUUGGCAUAUCGUUAAUC